rnacentral:lncRNA from 1 species
CGACUGGAUACGAAAUAAUAGUAAUUUGACAUACUUAAAGGAAGCAAGAUCAUUUUAUAAGUGGGGCGAGUUGUCAGACCUUUAUUCAGUGGGGUUUUAACCUUUUUCGUUAAUUAAUGAGUUUUCAGACUGAUUGUUCAAUUUGAUUUUACACUUUUUCAAAGUGGGGCAAGUCGGUAAACAAGAGUGGGACGAUAUUUUUAUAAAGUGG